rnacentral:rRNA from 1 species
AUACAUGCAAGUCGUACGCUUCUUUUUCCACCGGAGCUUGCUCCACCGGAAAAAGAGGAGUGGCGAACGGGUGAGUAACACGUGGGUAACCUGCCCAUCAGAAGGGGAUAACACUUGGAAACAGGUGCUAAUACCGUAUAACAAUCGAAACCGCAUGGUUUUGAUUUGAAAGGCGCUUUCGGGUGUCGCUGAUGGAUGGACCCGCGGUGCAUUAGCUAGUUGGUGAGGUAACGGCUCACCAAGGCCACGAUGCAUAGCCGACCUGAGAGGGUGAUCGGCCACAUUGGGACUGAGACACGGCCCAAACUCCUACGGGAGGCAGCAGUAGGGAAUCUUCGGCAAUGGACGAAAGUCUGACCGAGCAACGCCGCGUGAGUGAAGAAGGUUUUCGGAUCGUAAAACUCUGUUGUUAGAGAAGAACAAGGAUGAGAGUAACUGUUCAUCCCUUGACGGUAUCUAACCAGAAAGCCACGGCUAACUACGUGCCAGCAGCCGCGGUAAUACGUAGGUGGCAAGCGUUGUCCGGAUUUAUUGGGCGUAAAGCGAGCGCAGGCGGUUUCUUAAGUCUGAUGUGAAAGCCCCCGGCUCAACCGGGGAGGGUCAUUGGAAACUGGGAGACUUGAGUGCAGAAGAGGAGAGUGGAAUUCCAUGUGUAGCGGUGAAAUGCGUAGAUAUAUGGAGGAACACCUGGGGAGCAAACAGGAUUAGAUACCCUGGUAGUCCACGCCGUAAACGAUGAGUGCUAAGUGUUGGAGGGUUUCCGCCCUUCAGUGCUGCAGCUAACGCAUUAAGCACUCCGCCUGGGGAGUACGACCGCAAGGUUGAAACUCAAAGGAAUUGACGGGGGCCCGCACAAGCGGUGGAGCAUGUGGUUUAAUUCGAAGCAACGCGAAGAACCUUACCAGGUCUUGACAUCCUUUGACCACUCUAGAGAUAGAGCUUCCCCUUCGGGGGCAAAGUGACAGGUGGUGCAUGGUUGUCGUCAGCUCGUGUCGUGAGAUGUUGGGUUAAGUCCCGCAACGAGCGCAACCCUUAUUGUUAGUUGCCAUCAUUCAGUUGGGCACUCUAGCAAGACUGCCGGUGACAAACCGGAGGAAGGUGGGGAUGACGUCAAAUCAUCAUGCCCCUUAUGACCUGGGCUACACACGUGCUACAAUGGGAAGUACAACGAGUUGCGAAGUCGCGAGGCUAAGCUAAUCUCUUAAAGCUUCUCUCAGUUCGGAUUGCAGGCUGCAACUCGCCUGCAUGAAGCCGGAAUCGCUAGUAAUCGCGGAUCAGCACGCCGCGGUGAAUACGUUCCCGGGCCUUGUACACACCGCCCGUCACACCACGAGAGUUUGUAACACCCGAAGUCGGUGAGGUAACCUUUUGGAGCCAGCCGCCUAAGG